rnacentral:rRNA from 1 species
AAGGCGAAAAGAACCCCGGCGAGGGGAGUGAAAAAGAACCUGAAACCGUGUACGUACAAGCAGUGGGAGCACGCUUAGACGUGUGACUGCGUACCUUUUGUAUAAUGGGUCAGCGACUUAUAUUCUGUAGCAAGGUUAAUCGAAUAGGGGAGCCGAAGGGAAACCGAGUCUUAACUGGGCGUUAAGUUGCAGGGUAUAGACCCGAAACCCGGUGAUCU